rnacentral:lncRNA from 1 species
AAUGAAACAGGAGAGUUCCCUGAUUUCCUCCCGGCCCCCGCCCUCCCACAGCCCUUUGCAGGACGUGCAACAGGGUUGUGGCUCGUGUGUUCGGUCUCUGCCUGCUGAAACCCCUUAUGGGAGGUGGAGCAUGCAGACGGACGGGUGCAGGAGCCAGGGUGCAAAAGCUGGGGCGCUGGGCUUCCAGCCCCACGGCAGUGUCCAGGGGCAGGAUCCCGUGAUUCCCGGAGCCCAAAUGGGCGUGUGUUACAGUGUGCUCUUUUAGCCUUACCAUCAGCUGACGGCUUAAGUGUUAACCAGCUCAAUAGACCCUCUGCCUUUUUGCAAGCGCAGAGGGUCAGUGUGACAGUUUCUGUAUCUCAGCUCUUGUCUCACCUCCCAGAAGAAUCAGGUCACACAUGGACUUGAAGGAUGAACACCAGAGACUGGGUAAUUAAUAAAAAGAAGAAAUUGAUCUGGCCUACAGUUCUGGAGCCUUGGAAGUCCGAGAUCAAGGAGCUGCAUCUGGGUUCUAGGAUGCCUCAUAAAGGCCCGUAGUGUACUUUCUGUCUACUUCACUUAGCUCCGCAUUUGCAAUUUCUGUUAACAUGCAUACAGUUGAAUGGAUGGCCAGGAUCAAAGCUAUCUGCUGUGAGACACAAUGAGAAAUGCUUUUGUGUAAAGGAAAACACAGAUCCUGGUGCCGAACAUGAGGACAGGGCAGGCCGAAGGAGAAAGUGGAAGGAGGGGAGCUUCUCUCUCAGCCUCAUCCUUCUGGGCCUGGAUGCUGGAGAGUCAUGAGGUGCUUCAGAGUACUCUGGGUGAGGAGGGAAAGAUGGUGCCCACCACAUGGAGGCCAGCCUAGGUCUUGUAUGAAACCUGUGAGGAGAUUCUCUCUCCCUUGCUGUCUUUGAAAAAGCAAGUUGCCAUGUGAAGAGGGCCAUAUAGCAUAGGAGCUGAAGGCAGCCUCCAACUGACGGCAAGAAAAUGAGGUCCUCAGUCUGACAACCUGCAAGAAACUGAAUGUUCUAAAAGCCACAUGAGCUUGGGAGCAGAUCUGACCCCAGCCAAAUCUCUGAAGUCCGCAGGCAGGAAAUGAAGAUCAGAAAAAGGCUAUUGUCUCAUGAAUAUGAGCCAGACUCCACAGAAGCUGGAGUCCUUCAUUAUGGAGCUAAACACAUACACCUGGCUUAGGAGUCAGAAAAACUGAAAGAGAAUUCAGGGAAGUAGAGAAAUUGCAAGCCCAGAUGCUGCUUCAUACCAAAGAAGCAAGUCAGCAGGUCAGCAACAAUGUGUAUCAGUUCCAAAAUGACUUACACAGGUACCAAGACAAGACAUUAUAUACACUUAUAUAGUCAAAUACUUUAAAACUGUUAACAAACUUGCUACAAUUGUCUCAUUUGUCUUUUAACCUUAAUAUCACAGAUCAAGUUUGUAAUCUCAAAAGUUCACCCUGGCUGCUGUGUGGAGUAUUCUCUUAUCUGCUCAUAUUACACUGUGCUUAUUCAUUCAUCAGUUAAUGGAAAUUUGGGUUGUUUCCUGAUUUUGACUGUAAUGAAUAAUGUUGCUGUAAACAUUCAUGUACAGUUUUGUGUGGACAUGCUUUUCUUUCUCUUGGGUAGGUUCCUAUGAGUGGAAUCACUAGAUUGUAUGGUAAAUGUAUGUUUAACUUUUAAAGAAACUGUCAAACUGUUUUCUAACAUGAACGGGCCAUUUUACGUUCUUAUCAACAAUAUAUGAUGGUUUCAAUUUUCCCAC